rnacentral:rRNA from 1 species
UACGAAGGGUGCAAACGUUGCUCGGAAUCAUUGGGCGUAAAGCGCACGUAGGCGGCCUGUUAAGUCGGAUGUGAAAUCCCUCGGCUCAACCGAGGACGUGCAUUCGAAACUGGCAGGCUCGAGUAUGGAAGAGGGUCGCGGAAUUCCCGGUGUAGAGGUGAAAUUCGUAGAUAUCGGGAGGAACACCAGUGGCGAAGGCGGCGACCUGGGCCAAUACUGACGCUGAGGUGCGAAAGCGUGGG